rnacentral:rRNA from 1 species
UACGUAGGUGGCAAGCGUUGUCCGGAAUUAUUGGGCGUAAAGCGCGCGCAGGCGGUCUUUUAAGUCUGAUGUGAAAGCCCACGGCUCAACCGUGGAGGGUCAUUGGAAACUGGGAGACUUGAGUGCAGAAGAGAAGAGUGGAAUUCCACGUGUAGCGGUGAAAUGCGUAGAGAUGUGGAGGAACACCAGUGGCGAAGGCGACUCUUUGGUCUUUAACUGACGCUGAGGCGCGAAAGCGUGGGGAGCAAACAGG